rnacentral:rRNA from 1 species
GCUUGUCUCAAAGAUUAAGCCAUGCAUGUCUAAGUAUAAAUAUCUAUACUGUGAAACUGCGUAUGGCUCAUUAAAUCAGUUAUAGUUUAUUUGAUGAUACCCCACUACAUGGAUAACCGUAGUAAUUCUAGAGCUAAUACAUGCGUCAAAUCCCGACUUUUUGGAAGGGAUGUAUUUAUUAGAUAAAAAACCAACCCUUCGGGUUUCUUGGUGAUUCAUAAUAACUUAACGAAUCGCAUGGCCUUGCGCCGGCGAUGGUUCAUUCAAAUUUCUGCCCUAUCAACUUUCGAUGGUAAGAUAGUGGCUUACCAUGGUCUCAACGGGUAACGGGGAAUUAGGGUUCUAUUCCGGAGAGGGAGCCUGAGAAACGGCUACCACAUCCAAGGAAGGCAGCAGG